CAUUUCUAUCAUGUGUUGACUUAUUCAUUUGGGAAGGCUACAAUCAUGACUAAUUCUUUUUUCAUAGUUGUCACUCCUUAAUCAAUGCUAUAAUGAAGAAAUUAAAGGCUCUAAAAGACUCUACCUCCAAUUACAAAUAUAGGUCUAUGAGGAAGAGAUUGCGUAUGAAAAAUUCUUUGAUUUUUCUCCAUCUCUAUUGUUAGGCACUUAAAAGAUUGCAGGUUCUCAUAAUCCUCCUUGGAACCAUGCUGA
rnacentral:lncRNA from 1 species